rnacentral:lncRNA from 1 species
GGCCGCUGUCCAUAGUUCAUGUCACACGGUAGUGGAAAGUCCACGAUCACCAAUCCAAGGAAUGCUCGCGUAUCUCCUGCCACGUAGGACUGCUGCUGCUGUAGAACUGUGAGUACCAUUUGCGGAAGCCGGCAAUCGACUCGCCUUUCUUGACAAGCGCUGGCGUCUUUAGGUACACCUUGU